rnacentral:rRNA from 1 species
UACGUAGGUGGCAAGCGUUGUCCGGAUUUACUGGGCGUAAAGGGCGUGCAGGCGGUUUGUUAAGUGCAGGGUGAAAGCUCCCGGCUCAACUGGGGGAGGUCCUUGCAUACUGGCAGACUUGAGGGAGGCAGAGGAAAGUGGAAUUCCCGGUGUAGUGGUGAUAUGCGUAGAUAUCGGGAGGAACACCUGUGGCGAAGGCGGCUUUCUGGGCCUUACCUGACGCUGAGACGCGAAAGCGUGGGGAGCGAACCGG